rnacentral:rRNA from 1 species
UACGGAGGGGGCGAGCGUUGUCCGAAGUUACUGGGCGUAAAGCGCGCGUAGGCGGGUGGGUAAGUCCGCUGUGAAAGCCCGGAGCUCAACUCCGGAGGGUCGGUGGAUACUGUCCAUCUUGAAGGUGCUAGGGGGAGAUGGAAUUACCGGUGUAGCGGUGAAAUGCGUAGAGAUCGGUAGGAACACCAGUGGCGAAGGCGGUCUCCUGGAGCAUACUUGACGCUGAGGCGCGAAAGCUGGGGGAGCGAACGGG